UUGGAGUGACUGUGGAGGUAUGAUUGGCAACGAAGAAGGCUUCAAGCAUCACCACUUUAUUGUUCUUCAGUACAACUUUUCACACCCCUCGUGCCACAUGCAUUGCACCUGUGUGCCCUCUGUUCCCUUUGGUGAUUGCUCUGUGCCCCUCAGCACUCCAUGGCUCGUUACCCCCAACGCUGCUCACCUGUCCUGCACAGCUGCACCCACUGGGGAUGGGGCUGGCCCAGCCCCACUCCCAAUCACCACAGACUGUGUCACUAUAUUGGGGAGUCCCUGGGGCAGUUGGGAGAGCUGGGGUUGCUGUCGCGUGUGUGUAGUUCCUGGGUCGUGUGAGGCCCCUUGUGUGAGGGUGAGUGUGUGAGCAGCCCUCAUGGAAAACAGCCCUGAGGCUUAGGUGGGAAAAAAAGCCUUGAGAAAAGGUGUGGGAAAAGCAGCAAGAUGUUAGACUGAGGGGAAACAGCAUUACCAGAAGGAGCUGCCUGGUGGCCUGUGUCACUGUCCCAGCUGGUUGAAGCAUCUCCAGUGUCAGGAGGCCAGCAGGAAAAAGGGAGCGCAUUGGUGGCACUGGCAGGGACCUGCUGCAGCUGGAAAGGACAGCAGUGAAUAUAUUGAUCCCGGUCACACACACAGUUCAGCCAGGUCAAAGCCAGAGCAAGAGUCAGGUGGAAUCCUGACCUGGCUCCUUCAAUCCUGACAUCUUCCUGAAAUUCUUCUGGAGUUGGUGAUCUGAAGAGUCCUGAAACGUUGCAACAUCUUCAGAGUGGUUUGCAGCAGGAACCCCAGGAGCAUAGACCCACUGC